GCGGCGUGCUUCAUACAUGCAAGUCGAACGAGAAGCAGGAGCUUGCUCCUGUGGAAAGUGGCGGACGGGUGAGUAACACGUAGGAAAUCUGCCUUUGGGUGGGGGACAACAGUUGGAAACGACUGCUAAUACCCCAUAUGAGCUUGGUUGCAAUACCAAUCUUGAAAACUCCGGUGCCUAAAGAUGAGCCUGCGUCUGAUUAGCUUGUUGGCGGGGUAAUGGCCCACCAAGGCGACGAUCAGUAGCUGGUUUGAGAGGAUGAGCAGCCAAAAUGGGACUGAGACACGGCCCAUACUCCUACGGGAGGCAGCAGUAGGGAAUUUUGCGCAAUGGGGGAAACCCUGACGCAGCAACGCUGCGUGAAUGACGAAGCCCUUCGGGGUGUAAAGUUCUGUCAGUAGGGAAGAAUUUUGACUGUACCUACAAAGGAAGCACCGGCUAACUCCGUGCCAGCAGCCGCCGUAA
rnacentral:rRNA from 1 species